UUUUUAAUGGUUGACCUCGGAUCAGGUAGGAAUACCCGCUGAACUUAAGCAUAUCAAUAAGCCGGGAGGAAUCAUU
rnacentral:rRNA from 1 species